CGCCCUCCGUCGACCACACCUUGGGAUCUCUUCCGCGUGCGUUGCCAUCGAUCUCCUCCGCGCGAUUCGCUCUGGCUUUGCGGUGCGAGUCGAGGCAGUGUCGGAUCAGCCGCCGCGCCAUGGCCACCACGAGGUCACCCUCCGCUGGCGCCCUCCAGGAUUGCGCGGCGGCACGCGAAGGCGACGUGGUGGUCGGUGUCGCUCACGUCGGCCGGCGGUGAUGGUCCCGGCCGCUUGCAUCGAAUCUCUGGCGCAGAGCCCGCAGACCUAGCUAGCAGCCCAGGUACACUCGAUCGACCAGCACACUCGAUCCUCUGCAGCACGGCUUGCACCGCUCGCCGUUCGGAACCACUUGAGUAUGCAUUCCGGCAUUCCUACCCAAAAAUAGAAGCCAAGAUCGGAAGCAGAGGAUCAAGACAGCAACGAAGGCAAUUAAAUUACUCUUGUUUUGCUCUCACAUCCCUGUCCUGCUACCGUGCUCCUGCCGGCGGUGCUCCAAGAUCGGUGGCGGUCCAGUUACUAUUAUUUUUCGUCAAAAUUGGUUAGCCGCCGCCCAAAAUGGCAAGUUUCUCUUCCUCGGUUGAUGAAAUCUGAUUUUGUUUUUGGAACUUUUCUGAUUUGUCAUCCCCAUGUCUCUUUUUUUUUUUUGGUGGAGGAUUUGUCGUCCCUCGUGUAGAGGUAUCCAGAUCCGACCAGAGAAGUAGCAACCUUAUGUGCCAGAAUUGCAUCACAAUUUCAAUUAUGGGCUAACAAUUGGGCUCUAAAGUCUAAACAUCGUUAACCUCAAACUCGAGGUUGAGAAAGUGGAACAACUGAUGAUCGAUCUUAUAUAUAGAUGUACCUGGAAGAACAACACCAGCCCAUGGGCAGCAGCGGCGAUGGGCAGAGUUGAUAGAUGAUGUUAUCGAGGAGCAGGUGCACUGUCACGAGCAGAUGGUUAUUUCUUUUAUGAUAAACUAAUUGAUGAGUUUUUUCGACAUCCUCUUAAUAGUGAGACUAUGACUGGGGAAAGCAUUUCAACGAGUUCAUGUUCAGCGGCACCAAUGUGAACCUUUAUGGGUAUUAUUAAUCCUCGGUUCAUCACUUGUUUUUGUGGUUUCGUAGGCCUGAGUUUUGUUACUAUGUACCAUUUAUCAAAGUUCAGUUGAAACAAGUUGUGCUCAAUUGUGUUGCUGAUGUGCCUAUGACUAUAUACGUUUGUGUUGUUAA